rnacentral:rRNA from 1 species
CCUACGGGUGGCUGCAGUGAGGAAUUUUGCACAAUGGAGGUAACUCUGAUGCAGCGACGCCGUGUGUAGGAUGAAGGGGCUCUGCCCUGUAAACUACUGUCGGAUAGGAAUAAAAGUUGGGUUGCCCAACUGGGAAUGUACUAUCAAAGGAAGGAUCGGCUAACUACGUGCCAGCAGCCGCGGUAAUACGUAGGAUCCGAGCGUUGUCCGGAUUUACUGGGUAUAAAGGGUGCGUAGGCGGGUUUGUGCUUCAGAGGUUAAAGACCGCAGCUCAACUGCGGGAGUGCCUCUGAUAAGGCAAAUCUUGGAUAUGAGAGGGGUAGGUAGAAUUCCUGGUGUAGCGGUGAAAUGCGUAGAUAUCAGGAGGAAUACCAGUGGCGAAGGCGGCCUACUGGCUCAUAAUCGACGCUGAGGCACGAAAGCGUGGGGAUCAAACAGGAUUAGAUACCCCGGUAGUC